CUCUGCCUGCUUGUGAUGUCUCUGUCAAAAAAAAAAAAAAAAAAAAAAAAAGAAUGGAAGCUAUGUUAGUGUAGUGAAAGCACAGUUUCUCAGGCAAGACUACCUUGGUUUGAAUUGCAGUUUUACUUCCAGUUAUGGGACUUUUGCAAAUUACCUAAUCUCUCUGAACCUGAAUUUGCUUGUCUGUAAGAUCGGGAAACUAUAGCUAUAGGGUGCUUAUAGGGAUUAAAUGAGUUGGUCCCUAAUAAACAAUAUUGGGAUACAUAAAAAGUUAGCUGUGAUUAUUAUUGAAGUUUUUCUGAAAAGCAUUAAGGCAGCUUAUGUAAAACACCUUCAAAAAUUUCAAUUUGGCCAAAUAAUUUUGUUAUUAUAAUCCAAAACGAGAAAAGCUAUUUGUGCCUGGGUAUGUUUAUUGUAGCAGUAUUUAUUUAAAGCUGGAAAAUUAGAAAUUAUGUGCAACUAUAGGACGCUGAUUGAAUUAUAGUAGAAAAUUACAUCUGUUUAACUUUAUGGAGAGCUUUUUAUAAUAACGUUCAAGAACAGGAAUGCUCUCAGUUCUGUUUACAGAAACAGUG